GAUGAAGAACGUAGUGAAAUGCGAUACGUAAUGUGAAUUGCAGAAUUCAGUGAAUCAUCGAGUCUUUGAACGCACAUUGCGCCCCCUGGUAUUCCGGGGGGCAUGCCUGUCCGAGCGUCAUUGCUGCCCUCAAGCACGGCUUGUGUGUUGGGCCCCCGCCCCCCGGUUCCCGGGGGGCGGGCCCGAAAGGCAGCGGCGGCACCGCGUCCGGUCCUCGAGCGUAUGGGGCUUCGUCACCCGCUCCGUAGGCCCGGCCGGCGCCCGCCGGCGACCCCCCCCUCAAUCUUUCCAGGUUGACCUCGGAUCAGGUAGGGAUACCCGCUGAACUUAAGCAUAUCAAUAAGCGGAGGA
rnacentral:misc_RNA from 1 species